UACGUAGGGCGCAAGCGUUGUCCGGAUUUAUUGGGCGUAAAGAGCGUGUAGGCGGCCAUGUAGGUCCGUUGUGAAAACUCGAGGCUCAACCUCGAGACGCCGAUGGAAACCAUGUGGCUAGAGUCCGGAAGAGGAGAGUGGAAUUCCUGGUGUAGCGGUGAAAUGCGCAGAUAUCGUAAGGAAGACCAGUGGCGAAGGCGGGUCUCUGGACAGUUCCUGACGCUGAGGCACGAAGGCCAGGGGAGCAAACGGG
rnacentral:rRNA from 1 species